UAAGUUAGAGGUAGUGAUGCUUCUUUUUUUUCCCCCAAACUAUAUUAAACCAUGUGUCUUUGUCUGUGUUCAUUGGUGCAGUCGACUAUGAGGUCAAGUACCUGGAGCUUGAAAUACUUGGUAAAGGAAGCUUUGGCUCAGUUUAUGCCGGCCAUAGGAGGUCUGAUGAUUUACUAGUGGCGAUAAAACACAUCCCCUAAUCGUCUGUUCCGCCUCAAAGAGUGAUGUUAAAUGGGAGGCCACACAGUAUUCCCAAGGAGGUGCUGCUCAUGCAGAAAGCUGCAGGCGAACCAAUGACUGUGGGUUAAUGGACUGGUACGAUCUGGACCAAGUGUUUAUACUGGUCAUGGAGAGGUCUAUGGAACUGCUGUGCUUCAUAAAGGAGAACUGUGGUCCGAUGGCCGAGGCUGUUGCAAAGGUACUGUUGUUUUAUUCUUUGUGUGAGCUGUUUCUCAGACUACAA